rnacentral:rRNA from 1 species
GGACAACCUGCCCUCGGGUGGGGGAUAACCCCGGGAAACUGGGGCUAAUCCCCCAUAGGGGAUGGGUACUGGAAUGUCCCAUCUCCGAAAGCGCUUAGCGCCCGAGGAUGGGUCUGCGGCGGAUUAGGUUGUUGGUGGGGUAACGGCCCACCAAGCCGAAGAUCCGUACGGGCCACGAGAGUGGGAGCCCGGAGAUGGACCCUGAGACACGGGUCCAGGCCCUACGGGGCGCAGCAGGCGCGAAACCUCCGCAAUGCGGGAAACCGCGACGGGGUCAGCCGGAGUGCUCGCGCAUCGCGCGGGCUGUCGGGGUGCCUAAAAAGCACCCCAUAGCAAGGGCCGGGCAAGGCCGGUGGCAGCCGCCGCGGUAAUACCGGCGGCCCGAGUGGCGGCCACUUUUAUUGGGCCUAAAGCGUCCGUAGCCGGGCUGGUAAGUCCUCCGGGAAAUCUGGUCGCUUAACGAUCAGACUGCCGGAGGAUACUGCCAGCCUAGGGACCGGGAGAGGCCGGGGGUAUUCCCGGGGUAGGGGUGAAAUCCUGUAAUCCCGGGAGGACCACCUGUGGCGAAGGCGCCCGGCUGGAACGGGUCCGACGGUGAGGGACGAAGGCCAGGGGAGCGAACCGGAUUAGAUACCCGGGUAGUCCUGGCUGUAAACGAUGCGGACUAGGUGUCACCGAAGCUACGAGCUUCGGUGGUGCCGGAGGGAAGCCGUUA